rnacentral:rRNA from 1 species
GACAGAGGGGGCAAGCGUUGCUCGGAAUUACUGGGCGUAAAGGGCGCGUAGGCGGGAUGGCAAGUCGGUCGUGAAAUCCCUCGGCUCAACCGAGGAACGUCGAUCGAUACUGCUGUUCUUGAGGAUUGCAGAGGAGACUGGAAUUCCCGGUGUAGCGGUGAAAUGUGUAGAGAUCGGGAGGAACACCGGUGGCGAAGGCGGGUCUCUGGGCAAUUCCUGACGCUGAGGCGCGAAAGCGUGGGGAGGCGAA